rnacentral:pre_miRNA from 1 species
AAGAUACUCCCUUUGUCCCAAAAUUCUUGUCUUAGAUUUGUCUAAAUACAAAUGUAUCUAGUUACAUUUUAGUGUUAGAUACAUCCGUAUCUAGAAAAAAUUAAGACAAGAAUUUUGGGACGGCUGGUUUCAA